UACAGAGGUCCCAAGCGUUGUUCGGAUUCAUUGGGCGUAAAGGGUGCGUAGGCGGCGCCGUAAGUCGGGUGUGAAAUUUCGGAGCUUAACUCCGAAACUGCAUUCGAUACUGGCGUGCUUGAGGACGGGAGAGGAGACUGGAAUUCAUGGUGUAGCAGUGAAAUGCGUAGAGAUCAUGAGGAAGACCAGUGGCGAAGGCGGGUCUCUGGACAGUUCCUGACACUGAGACACGAAGGCCAGGGGAGCAAACGGG
rnacentral:rRNA from 1 species